AAGGAUUUAAGUUAAAUAAACUUGAAGUCUUCAAAACUUCGAAUAAAGAUCCAUCUUUAAGCCUUA
rnacentral:tRNA from 1 species